UACGGAGGGUGCAAGCGUUAAUCGGAAUUACUGGGCGUAAAGCGUGCGCAGGCGGUUAUGCAAGACCGAUGUGAAAUCCCCGGGCUCAACCUGGGAACUGCAUUUGUGACUGCAUGGCUAGAGUACGGUAGAGGGGGAUGGAAUUCCGCGUGUAGCAGUGAAAUGCGUAGAUAUGCGGAGGAACACCGAUGGCGAAGGCAAUCCCCUGGACCUGUACUGACGCUCAUGCACGAAAGCGUGGGGAGCAAACAGG
rnacentral:rRNA from 1 species